rnacentral:lncRNA from 1 species
GUAAAAAGGACUGCGAUUCCUAGAGCAGCGUGGACAUAGGCACGUGGGUGCGUGUGGGAAACAGGAACCCACUGCUGCCUCUGAGGAGACGGGCUGAAAUCUCCAGCUGUGCAAUGCAGGAGCAUUCUGAAGCAGGAAAUAGCAGGGACAAGAUAACAGCGUUCGUGUGCUUGAGUGGACGUACAAACUGUGCAAGGAAUGUAUCAGACCAGAAUGAAGGCAGGUGCCUUCAAUACAGAAGGAGCUCCUGCCUCUGGAGGAAACCCCCGUCCUCUCUCCUGCUGAAGUGUUGCUGCCUCUCUGAUGCCAUCCCAUCCCUUACUUCUGCUUAGAAGAUACUAGUGAAAAUUGUCACUAAGAAGCCACGGUCUAAAACUCAUUUGGUUUUCCAGGCUUAUUCCUGGAAGGUAGGUGAAUAAUUAAACACCCAAUCGCCGCUGCUCCUUGGAAGGUGGGACUACGCAAGCGUCAGCACGGGACAGGUGCAAAUCGCAGGACACGGCCUCAGAGCACAAGAUACCAACGCAACGUGCAGGCGCACCAGAAGGCCCUCAGCGGCCUGCCGGCUGCUCAGCAGCCUGCUGCUGAUCUGUCCUAUUUUACGGGGUUGCACAUGGGAGUUGUCAGUCCUUGUUCCUUUUCGUUUGAACCACAUGAAGCUUUCUAGCCAUGGAAAGAAUGUGCAACAUAAAGCUUAAACUUUGUCCAGAAAUGUCACAGCCUCUAAAAAUUGAAGGAAUCUGGUAUAGAAAGUUUAGUUUGUGAUGAAAUGGUUCAUUCAAGAGGAG